GAAUAGAGAACGAAGUGACGGCACGAGGGGCCGUUGCACGUUCAGAAGGCAUCGUCAUCCCUUCGCAAGCGGCCGGUCUUCGGCGGGACCAACUCCUGGUCAAGGAGAAAAUGUCCACCCGCACAUCGUGCACUGGCGGUACGUCUUGCCGCUGUUGACAGUUCAUCACCACCGUUUCGGAAGCCAUGCGCGUACUUCUUGCAAACGGUUUGAUGUGGGGCAACGCUCUUUUGGCCAUCCAAGCCUUUAUCAUCGUAAUCAUCGGUUCUUUUAUCGGACUAAACUGGCAGCGCCACAUCACCACCAUAUUCCGAAGCCACCACCCAGCUCUAGUGAUAAUUUUCUUCAUUCUGACGGGUUUAACACUGAUAUUUGUGUCACUCUUUGGCAUCUGCAUCUCACAUAAACUUCGCAAGAAGCAUCCUGGAGACAAAGCCGUAAAAGGUUGCGAUGUCUACACCGCAAUGGCUCUCGUUAUGCUUGUAAGCUUGGUAAUCAACGCUACUAUCGUCGUACACCACAUAAAAGACAUGAGGAAGACCUCAGACCAAGAUUUGCGGUACACGAUGUACCAGUACUUUGUGGAUGAUACGUCCAGGGAGCCACUCGAUAACCUCCACAAGGACUUUAGCUGUUGCGGUCUGAACAGGUUUACUGAUUGGACAGCUGCCACGAAAUUGGCGACGAAUAAGACACACGGAGAAGGUGAAAGACACGCCAGAGCGAAAGUGCCACGGUCCUGUUGUCUGGUUGAGCACAGCGACGGAGGAUGCUUGGAGUACUACGAAGAUGGCUGCGGCCCAGCAGUGCACGAUUAUUUUAACAUACUCUUCCCGUCCACGGUGGUUAGCGGAGUUUGCAUUGCUCUCUGGUUGGUCGUGUUGAUGACGACUGCACAGAGACUGAAGCAGACGCUCAGUGGAAAGACAGCUUCUUCGAAGGCCGUGGGGAGAUGAACCGUACCUCUCGACUGUUGUGCGAGUGCAUUCAUACACCGAAAUUGCGAUUAAGUAUGGUUUAUUGUUAUUACUGUUUUGAAUGGCAGUUCCCUGAUUUUACUUUUACUUGUAUAGUCGGGACAGCAUGCGGCAGGACAAAUAGGAUUUUAUAUGAAAUGUCGUAAUAAAAUAUUUAGGUUGAUGAA